rnacentral:rRNA from 1 species
UACGGGGGGAGCAAGCGUUGUUCGGAAUCACUGGGCGUAAAGGGCGUGUAGGCGGUCAAGUAAGUGGGAUGUGAAAUGCCCCGGCUCACCCGGGGACCUGCAUCCCAAACUGCUUGGCUUGAGUAUGGGAGAGGAUGAGGGAAUUCCUGGUGUAGCGGUGAAAUGCGUAGAUAUCAGGAGGAACACCGGUGGCGAAGGCGCUCAUCUGGCCCAAUACUGACGCUGAGGCGCGAAAGCUAGGGGAGCAAACGGG